UACGUAGGGGGCAAGCGUUGUUCGGAAUUACUGGGCGUAAAGGGCGCGUAGGCGGCACGGCAAGUCGGGUGUGAAAGGCCUGGGCUCAACCGAGGAACUGCUUUCGAGACUGCCGAGCUAGAGUGCGGAAGGGGCAACUGGAAUUCCCAGUGUAGCGGUGAAAUGCGUAGAUAUUGGGAAGAACACCGGAGGCGAAGGCGGGUUGCUGGGCCGACACUGACGCUGAGGCGCGAAAGCCAGGGGAGCAAACGGG
rnacentral:rRNA from 1 species